rnacentral:rRNA from 1 species
UGAACGCUGGCGGCGUGCCUAAUACAUGCAAGUCGAGCGAACGGACGAGAAGCUUGCUUCUCUGAUGUUAGCGGCGGACGGGUGAGUAACACGUGGAUAACCUACCUAUAAGACUGGGAUAACUUCGGGAAACCGGAGCUAAUACCGGAUAAUAUUUUGAACCGCAUGGUUCAAAAGUGAAAGACGGUCUUGCUGUCACUUAUAGAUGGAUCCGCGCUGCAUUAGCUAGUUUGUAAGGUAACGGCUUACCAAGGCAACGAUGCAUAGCCGACCUGAGAGGGUGAUCGGCCACACUGGAACUGAGACACGGUCCAGACUCCUACGGGAGGCAGCAGUAGGGAAUCUUCCGCAAUGGGCGAAAGCCUGACGGAGCAACGCCGCGUGAGUGAUGAAGGUCUUCGGAUCGUAAAACUCUGUUAUUAGGGAAGAACAUAUGUGUAAGUAACUGUGCACAUCUUGACGGUACCUAAUCAGAAAGCCACGGCUAACUACGUG